rnacentral:rRNA from 1 species
GACGAACGCUGGCGGCGUGCUUAACACAUGCAAGUCGAACGAAGUGGCGCACGGGUGAGUAACGCGUAAUUAACCUGCCCUUCAGAGGGGGACAACAGUUGGAAACGACUGCUAAUACCGCAUCCUGAAGGUGGUGAUUGCGUCUGAUUAGCUAGUUGGGGGGGUAACGGCCCACCAAGGCGAUGAUCAGUAGCCGGGCUGAGAGGAUGGACGGGCACAUUGGGACUGAGACACGGCCCAGACUCCUACGGGAGGCAGCAGUGGGGAAUCUUCCGCAAUGGACGAAAGGCUGACGGAGCAACGCCGCGUGAGUGAUGACGGCCUUCGGGUUGUAAAGCUCUGUUAAUCGGGACGCGGUACCGGAAGAGAAAGCCACGGCUAACUACGUGCCAGCAGCCGCGGUAAUUC